rnacentral:misc_RNA from 1 species
AACGCACAUUGCGCCCUCUGGUAUUCCGGGGGGCAUGCCUGUUCGAGCGUCAUUACACCUCUCAAGCUCAGCUUGGUAUUGGGUGGCCGCCUCCAUUAAGUGGGCGUCCCCGAAAAUUAGCGGCGGUGCAGCCAGAAUACGGAGCGCAGUAGAAUUAAAAUCUCGCUUUGGAAACUGACUGUCCCUGCCGGAAUACGGCCUCAGUCUGCCCUCGGGUGGUCGGAGCCCAUUUUUCUAUGGUUGACCUCGGAUCAGGUAGGGAUACCCGCUGAACUUAA